GUACAUACAAGUGUUGAAAGAUAUAUAUGAAGGAGCAACUACUAUUGUGAGCACAGUGGAAGGGGACACGAGAUUUUUCGAUCUCAAUUGGAUUACACCAAGAAUCAGCUAUAAGUCAUUACCUUUUUACAUUAGUUUUAAAUGAAUUGACGAAACAUAUACAAUAGAGUAUUCCUUGAUGCAUGAUGUUUGCGGAUGAUAUAAUUCUGAUAAAUGAGACGCGAGAAGGAGUCAAUAAAAAGUUAGAGUUUUGGAGAAGUACUCUAG
rnacentral:misc_RNA from 1 species